rnacentral:rRNA from 1 species
AGGGAAUCUUCGGCAAUGGGGGGAACCCUGACCGAGCAACGCCGCGUGAGUGAAGAAGGUUUUCGGAUCGUAAAGCUCUGUUGUUAAGGAAGAACGAGUGUGAGAAUGGAAAGUUCAUACUGUGACGGUACUUAACCAGAAAGGGACGGCUAACUACGUGCCAGCAGCCGCGGUAAUACGUAGGUCCCGAGCGUUGUCCGGAUUUAUUGGGCGUAAAACGAGCGCAGGCGGUUAGAUAAGUCUGAAGUUAAAGGCAGUGGCUCAACCAUUGUAGGCUUUGGAAACUGUUUAACUUGAGUGCAGAAGGGGAGAGUGGAAUUCCAUGUGUAGCGGUGAAAUGCGUAGAUAUAUGGAGGAACACCGGUGGCGAAAGCGGCUCUCUGGUCUGUAACUGACGCUGAGGCUCGAAAGCGUGGGGAGCGAACAGGAUUAGAUACCCUGGUAGUCCACGCCGUAAACGAUGAGUGCUAGGUGUUAGGUCCUUUCCGGGACUUAGUGCCGCAGCUAACGCAUUAAGCACUCCGCCUGGGGAGUACGACCGCAAGGUUG